rnacentral:rRNA from 1 species
ACUUUUGACGGUGGAUCUCUUGGCUCACGCAUCGAUGAAGAACGCAGCCAGCUGCGAUAAGUAGUGUGAAUUGCAGAAUUCAGUGAAUCAUCGAAUCUUUGAACGCAAAUGGCGCUCUUGGGUUCUCCCAGGAGUAUGUCUGUCUGAGUGUCGGAUAU